rnacentral:rRNA from 1 species
GAUGAACGCUGGCGGCGUGCCUAAUACAUGCAAGUCGAGCGAACUGAUUAGAAGCUUGCUUCUAUGACGUUAGCGGCGGACGGGUGAGUAACACGUGGGCAACCUGCCUGUAAGACUGGGAUAACUUCGGGAAACCGAAGCUAAUACCGGAUAGGAUCUUCUCCUUCAUGGGAGAUGAUUGAAAGAUGGUUUCGGCUAUCACUUACGGAUGGGCCCGCGGUGCAUUAGCUAGUUGGUGAGGUAACGGCUCACCAAGGCAACGAUGCAUAGCCGACCUGAGAGGGGGAUCGGCCACACUGGGACUGAGACACGGCCCAGACUCCUACGGGAGGCAGCAGUAGGGAAUCUUCCGCAAUGGACGAAAGUCUGACGGAGCAACGCCGCGUGAGUGAUGAAGGCUUUCGGGUCGUAAAACUCUGUUGUUAGGGAAGAACAAGUACGAGAGUAACUGCUCGUACCUUGACGGUACCUAACCAGAAAGCCACGGCUAACUACGUGCCAGCAGCCGCAGUAACAC